CCUACGGGCGGCAGCAGUGAGGAAUAUUGGUCAAUGGCCGCAGGGCUGAACCAGCCAAGUCGCGUGAGGGAUGACGGGCCUAUGGAUUGUAAACCUCUUUUGUGAGGGAGCAAAGGGCGCCACGUGUGGCGUUUUGCGAGUACCUGAAGAAAAAGCAUCGGCAAACUCCGUGCCAGCAGACGCGGUAAGACGGAGGAGGAGAGCGUGAUCCGGAUUUAUUGGGUUUAAAGGGUGCGUGGGCGGAGGUGCAAGGCAGCGCUCAAAUUGCGGGGCUCAACCCCGUACUGCCGUUGAAACUGCAUGCCUUGAGUGCGCGAGAAGUAUGCGGAAUGCGUGGUGUAGCGGUUAGAUGCAUAGAUAUCACGCAGAACUCCGAUUGCGAAGGCAGCAUACCGGCGCGCAACUGACGCUCAUGCACGAAGGCGUGGGUAUCGAACAGGAUUAGAUACCCCUGUAGUC
rnacentral:rRNA from 1 species